rnacentral:rRNA from 1 species
UACCUGCAGCUCAAGUGGUGACCGCUAUUAUUGGGCCUAAAACGUUCGUAGCCGGUUUGGUAAAUGCCUGGGUAAAUCGUGUAGCUUAACUAUACGAAUUCCGGAUAGACUGCCAAACUUGAGACCGGGAGAAGCUAGAGGUACUCCUGGGGUAGAGGUGAAAUUCUGUAAUCCUAGGGGGACCACCAGUGGCGAAGGCGUCUAGCUAGAACGGGUCUGACGGUGAGGAACGAAGCCCUGGGGCGCAAACCGG